rnacentral:misc_RNA from 1 species
GUCCAAUAUUAUUCAUUGUUAAUUUUUAUCUUCCAACUACAAAACAAAUAAAGAAGUCACUUUAAGGCAUAAAACAGGCAUGAUAAUGACAUAUUUCUGGUCUGUACAAAUCAGGACCAAAAGUCUAGUCAAUUAAUCACAUAUGGAUAUCUCCUUACAUAAACUUUUCCUCAAUAUAUAAGAUUAAUAUAAUUAUGAACCCAGCUUACUCACUCUUUGUCCUAGUUUUUUCUUCUUCUUUUUUUUCUUUCUCCAGAGAUCCUUUGAUCUCUCUCAUGCCACACGGAUGAUGCUUUCUCCAUUACUGAAACUUGACAUCACAUUAUAUGCCGAGUGUCUAGUAGAUGAUGCUUGUCCCUGAUCAAGUGACAAUGAUAAUCUCAGUGACAACGACGAUGGCUCGAUUGUUGAAUUGUGGUUGGCGUUAAGGUCGAUCGAUUUUGAUGGAUUAGGCAUUGAAAACAUAGGAACAGGACCAACUAGCAUCGAUGAAUUCGCAUGAUCAUGUCGAAACAGAGUUGGAUUCUCUCUUGACUUAUUAACCUGUACUGGAAAUAUGAUAGGAGCAACAGCCGGUGCCACCGAAAAUGCAUUGGUUUUGGUAGUUUCUACAGGAGGUAAUGUUGCUGGUGCUGGAACUGGGAUUUCUUGCUUAUUUUCCACCUCUUCUAUUGGCAUUACUGAUACCGAGUCAGUGGUGAUAUCAAAGAGGCUAGAUCGACGGCGGCGACGGUUGAGGUUGCUUCGCCGGAGGAAGUAUUUCUGAGCAUGACUUGCAACCUGUGUCGGUGUGCGAGUCUUUACGAAGUUACGAGAGAUUCCUCUCCAGUCUCCUUUUCCAACUUUUUGCAAUCCUAAAAGGAAUAACUUAUGCUCUUCCUCUGUCCACGGAACUCCUCUCUUACGCUCGCGACCACUGUUGGACUGAUGUUGAACCGCGUCAUCUGCAGAGGCAUAACCUUCAUCCUGCGCCACUUUAGAGGAUUCAUUGUUAUCACCGCCGCCGUUGUUGUUGUUGUUGUUAGCAUUCGGUUGCUCGUACUGUGAAAGAUCGUUCAGACUCACGCUCUUCCUCAUAGGAUCCACUUUUACUCUCACACCAAACAACAUGAUUUCUCCUCCAAAACCGCCGCCGGUUACCGCCGGCGUCGACGACGACUUAUCACUGCAAACGCUCGACAUCUUUCUGGAAGAUUCCACGAAUCAAUAAAAAAAUCAAUUUAUACAAAGUGUUGAUGACUAAACAUACACUUCGUCAAUUGAAAACCGUACACACCUAUUGAAAUUGAAAGGAAG